GACAGAGGGUGCAAACGUUGUUCGGAAUUACUGGGCGUAAAGCGCGUGUAGGCGGCCAUGCAAGUCGGAUGUGAAAGCCCUCGGCUCAACCGGGGAAGUGCACUCGAAACUGCAAGGCUAGAGUCUCGGAGAGGAUCGUGGAAUUCUCGGUGUAGAGGUGAAAUUCGUAGAUAUCGAGAGGAACACCGGUGGCGAAGGCGGCGAUCUGGACGAUGACUGACGCUGAGACGCGAAAGCGUGGGGAG
rnacentral:rRNA from 1 species